ACAGAUUCUUGCAGUGUAGCAAUGGAGCCCUCAGUUUCACUAGAUGUUGAUAUGUCACAGCAAGGACGAAAUCAGAGGCAGUUCUAAGAAGGUAAAUAUGAACAGGACUUUGUGUGUAAGCAAAUUAAAUUUGUACUUACUUCUUAUGAUGCUUAAUAGCUGUAUAUAGUAGUCGGCAGCAAGCAGCAUACAGGCUCAUUGAGAAUUUCUGGUCUACUUGAAGAUCUUCAGAGCUUCCUAACAGAUCUUGUCGCUGAUCAUCCUUAUGUAACAGAUUUCCAUCCAAAACCGAGAAUCCCAC
rnacentral:lncRNA from 1 species